UUAAAGGAAUUGACGGAAGGGYACCACAAGAUGUGGGGCCUGCGGCUCAAUCUGACUCAACACGGAAAAACUUACCAGACCAGGACACCGGAAGGAUUGACAGAUUGAGAGCUCUUUCUUGAUUCGGUGGGUGGUGGUGCAUGGCCGUUCUUAGUUGGUGGAGUGAUUUGUCUGGUUAAUUCCGGUAACGAACGAGACCCUGUUCUGCUAACUAGUCGAUAUUCCGGCAUCCUUGGUGCAGCCGGCGACUUAUACUCUUCUUAGAGGGACUGGCAGCUUUUAGCUGCAGGAAGUGGGGCAAUAACAGGUCUGUGAUGCCCUUAGAUGUUCUGGGCAGCACGCGCGCCACACUGAAGGCAUCAACGUGUCUUUCUUUGGCCGAGAGGUCCGGGCAACCCGUUGAAUCGCCUUCGUGAUAGGGAUAGGGGCUUGCAAUUAUCCCCCUCGAACGAGGAAUAUCUCGUAAGCGGAAAUCAUUAGUUUCUGCUGAUUAAGUCCCUGCCCUUUGUCCACACCGCCCGUCGCUACCACCGAUUGAAUUAUGGGGUGAGGUCUUCGGACCAGUGCGCGGCGUCCGCGGCUAACCGCCGUGGACACCGAGGCGACCGGAAAGAUGACCAAACUUCAUUAUUUAGAGGAUGUAAAAGUCGUAACAAGGUUGCC
rnacentral:rRNA from 1 species